GUUGCCGGCCAGAGGGCGCGGGUUCCACCUGAUCCCGUUCCGAACUCAGAAGUUAAACCGUGUUCCGUUCCCAACUGUAGUGCGGUCUUC
rnacentral:rRNA from 1 species